rnacentral:rRNA from 1 species
AGCGAACGCUGGCGGCAGGCUUAACACAUGCAAGUCGAACGGGCACUUCGGUGUCAGUGGCAGACGGGUGAGUAACACGUGGGAACGUACCUUUUGGUUCGGAACAACUGAGGGAAACUUCAGCUAAUACCGGAUAAGCCCUUACGGGGAAAGAUUCAUCACCGAAAGAUCGGCCCGCGUCUGAUUAGCUAGUUGGUAGGAUAAUGGCCUACCAAGGCGACGAUCAGUAGCUGGUCUGAGAGGAUGAUCAGCCACAUUGGGACUGAGACACGGCCCAAACUCCUACGGGAGGCAGCAGUGGGGAAUAUUGGACAAUGGGGGCAACCCUGAUCCAGCCAUGCCGCGUGAGUGAUGAAGGCCCUAGGGUUGUAAAGCUCUUUUGUGCGGGAAGAUAAUGACGGUACCGCAAGAAUAAGCCCCGGCUAACUUCGUGCCAGCAGCCGCGGUAA